rnacentral:rRNA from 1 species
AACGAACGCUGGCGGCAUGCCUAACACAUGCAAGUCGCACGAGACCUUCGGGUCUAGUGGCGCACGGGUGCGUAACGCGUGGGAAUCUACCCUCGGGUUCGGAAUAACAGUUAGAAAUGACUGAUAAUACCGGAUGCUGACGUAAGUCAAAAGAUUUAUCGCCCAAGGAUGAGCCCGCGUAAGAUUAGCUUGUUGGUGGGGUAAUGGCCUACCAAGGCGACGAUCUUUAGCUGGUCUGAGAGGAUGAUCAGCCACACUGGGACUGAGACACGGCCCAGACUCCUACGUGAGGCAGCAGUGGGGAAUAUUGGACAAUGGGCGAAAGCCUGAUCCAGCAAUGCCGCGUGAGUGAUGAAGGCCUUAGGGUUGUAAAGCUCUUUUACCAGGGAUGAUAAUGACAGUACCUGGAGAAUAAGCUCCGGCUAACUCCGUGCCAGCAGCCGCCGUAA